ACUUAAUGUUGGCAGCUCCAACAUUAAAAUAGAGCUGAUGGCUGGUGGCUUUUGCUACCGGCCU
rnacentral:sRNA from 1 species